rnacentral:rRNA from 1 species
UACGUAGGGCGCAAGCGUUGUCCGGAAUCAUUGGGCGUAAAGAGCUCGUAGGUGGUCUGUUACGUCUGCUGUGAAAUCCUAGGGCUUAACCCUGGGCCUGCAGUGGAUACGGGCAGACUAGAGGUAGGUAGGGGGAGAAUGGAAUUCCCGGUGUAGCGGUGAAAUGCGCAGAUAUCGGGAGGAACACCGGUGGCGAAGGCGGUUCUCUGGGCCUUACCUGACACUGAGGAGCGAAAGCGUGGGGAGCGAACAGG